UUGAACGCUGGCGGCAGGCCUAACACAUGCAAGUCGAACGGUAACAGGAAGAAGCUUGCUUCUUUGCUGACGAGUGGCGGACGGGUGAGUAAUGUCUGGGAAACUGCCUGAUGGAGGGGGAUAACUACUGGAAACGGUAGCUAAUACCGCAUAACGUCGCAAGACCAAAGAGGGGGACCUUCGGGCCUCUUGCCAUCGGAUGUGCCCAGAUGGGAUUAGCUUGUUGGUGGGGUAACGGCUCACCAAGGCGACGAUCCCUAGCUGGUCUGAGAGGAUGACCAGCCACACUGGAACUGAGACACGGUCCAGACUCCUACGGGAGGCAGCAGUGGGGAAUAUUGCACAAUGGGCGCAAGCCUGAUGCAGCCAUGCCGCGUGUAUGAAGAAGGCCUUCGGGUUGUAAAGUACUUUCAGCGGGGAGGAAGGGAGUAAAGUUAAUACCUUUGCUCAUUGACGUUACCCGCAGAAGAAGCACCGGCUAACUCCGUGCCAGCAGCCGCGGUAAUACGGAGGGUGCAAGCGUUAAUCGGAAUUACUGGGCGUAAAGCGCACGCAGGCGGUUUGUUAAGUCAGAUGUGAAAUCCCCGGGCUCAACCUGGGAACUGCAUCUGAUACUGGCAAGCUUGAGUCUCGUAGAGGGGGGUAGAAUUCCAGGUGUAGCGGUGAAAUGCGUAGAGAUCUGGAGGAAUACCGGUGGCGAAGGCGGCCCCCUGGACGAAGACUGACGCUCAGGUGCGAAAGCGUGGGGAGCAAACAGGAUUAGAUACCCUGGUAGUCCACGCCGUAAACGAUGUCGACUUGGAGGUUGUGCCCUUGAGGCGUGGCUUCCGGAGCUAACGCGUUAAGUCGACCGCCUGGGGAGUACGGCCGCAAGGUUAAAACUCAAAUGAAUUGACGGGGGCCCGCACAAGCGGUGGAGCAUGUGGUUUAAUUCGAUGCAACGCGAAGAACCUUACCUGGUCUUGACAUCCACGGAAGUUUUCAGAGAUGAGAAUGUGCCUUCGGGAACCGUGAGACAGGUGCUGCAUGGCUGUCGUCAGCUCGUGUUGUGAAAUGUUGGGUUAAGUCCCGCAACGAGCGCAACCCUUAUCCUUUGUUGCCAGCGGUCCGGCCGGGAACUCAAAGGAGACUGCCAGUGAUAAACUGGAGGAAGGUGGGGAUGACGUCAAGUCAUCAUGGCCCUUACGACCAGGGCUACACACGUGCUACAAUGGCGCAUACAAAGAGAAGCGACCUCGCGAGAGCAAGCGGACCUCAUAAAGUGCGUCGUAGUCCGGAUUGGAGUCUGCAACUCGACUCCAUGAAGUCGGAAUCGCUAGUAAUCGUGGAUCAGAAUGCCACGGUGAAUGCGUUCCCGGGCCUUGUACACACCGCCCGUCACACCAUGGGAGUGGGUUGCAAAAGAAGUAGGUAGCUUAACCUUCGGGAGGGCGCUUACCACUUUGUGAUUCAUGACUGGGGUG
rnacentral:rRNA from 1 species